GACACAAUCAAAAUACAAAAUGUUAUAAACAGAUAAAUAAAAUAAACUUAUUUGUCAAUUUCGGAGUUGAAACUCUCAACCUAAGCAUAAAUACAUCUGUAACUAAGUUUUAUGACAACUGAUUGUGUAUAUUCUCAGUAAUUAGCAAAAACCCGGUUUCAGUUUCAAAGUCCCGGCCCGGCUCGGUUUUAACCACUGUUGACUACUCAUUUUAGUCCCCCUCCAGAUCUUUGUCUUGUUUAAAUUAAAAUUCCAGAGACAUACACCUUUACAGAAAAAAAAACUGAAACCCAUAAACAUUUAAUCCCCAAAUUAUCAAAAUACUAAUCUAGCAUUCUGGCAGUAAAUAACAUAUACAGCGAAGUUUUGUUUCACUACAUUUAUGCACAAUGUACUGAUCUAUGCUGAAAGUGAAAACGGUUUGAAAUCGUAAACAAACCUGCAGUGCAUGCCAAGCCAUGAAUCCGGGAGUUCGAGCAGUUGUCAAGACAAGAAUCUCCUUAAAUUAUCUAGAUGAGGUUUCAAAAAAUUACCACAGGUUGCAAACUUCGUCAAAAUAGCGAUGCAGACCCGCUCCACUUGAUUUGAAAUGAUUGGCUAUUCAACCGAAUACACAGUGCCAUAUUUGGGUUACUUAUCAGAGUAGAUCGUUCAUUUAACAUUCGAGAAGAGUUUACAUAUUAUUUGAAUGAAGAGGAUAACAUAAUACUGAGCUGAAAAUUGUGUGUAAAGUAUGUUUUAGUAGUUUACAAUACAGACUGUAAAUGUGCGGGAGAUUUUAUAGAUAUUGAAGCUUGUAAACAAAACCAAUAAACGUAGGACUUAUUCACGGCAAUGUAUGGGAACCAGAACAGGGAACCAGUCUAGAAGGCAAAGAAAAUUCCGCCAAGUAAACAACAAAGAAAGGGAUUUGGGAUGUUGUCAGUUGUAUGUAUACAUUAUGUGCGACGGUGACUGCAAGAAAAAAGGAAUGUGGAGCUAAUGCAUGCUGCUAAGGAUGGAAAGGUCUUGUGUUUAUUGGUUGUGCCUGAGACACCAGUCACAGUUGUACCUUAUUUCCAUUUUAGGGAGUCUAUAUACAUUUGAGGUGAGCGGCAGAUUUAAUUUUGAAGAAGGGUGACUUUCAGAUGUUGUGAUGAAGAUUGUUGAAAGGGAUUAUCAGCAUACAACCAAUCCAUAUGAAUGUGCAAGUCAGGGAGUCUAGAUACAUUUGAGGUGAGCGGCAGAUUUAAUUUUGAAGAAGGGUGACUUUCAGAUGUUGUGAUGAAGAUUGUUGAAAGGGAUUAUCAGCAUAGAACCAAUCCAUAUGAAUUUGCAAGUCAGGACUUACAACACCUGAGUGCCUAGAUGACUGUUGAACUAAUUGGUGAACAAGAAAAGAUGCCAGAGAGGGGAAUCCAAUACAGAUGUCAUGAUCAAGAAUAUAUACUCUUAACAAUGAUAUGAUCAAGAAUAUGUUAACUUGUAAUGAUUUAAAAUAUCUUAUCUGUAAAUCACUCUUCAUUACUUAAUUGUUCACACAUUAUCAUCUACACUUAUGCUAUAAAUCUUAUCUGUAUAUUAAUCGCCCCCUCUUAUCUAACCCCCUGCUGAUUGUAAUGACCUGUGUAUUGACUCCUGAUCUUAAGGAUCUUGUAAUGUACUCCUGAUCAUCAGGAACGGAUCUUGAGUAUAUAUAUAGUGCGACAGAAUUUUAGAAUAAGAUAGGAAGAUGGAAAUAUAGAAGACUUAGUAGAUAGAACUGUUAGAGAUAGAUAAAGUUACUCACUUACUUGGACUAUUACAUAAUAAUUCUUGGAUUUAUAUGUACAUGUGAUUGUUUUACUUGAAUUUAUUUUUUGUGAAUUAUUUUUCCUGAAUGUUUCUAUUUAUGAUGUGCUGUGUAAAUAAACUGUAGACUAGAAUUUCGGCAUCUAUUUUCAAGAUAUGAGGAACAAGGAUAAAUUAAUUUAUUCAUGCAAACUGAAAUUAUGAAAUGUGUUGUAAGACCGCUCGGUGUGGCGCUACAAACUAACUAGGAAAUAUCUUGGAGAUUUAUAGAUGAACAUGCAAGCAUUCAUGAUUUUGAAUGUUAUUUAGCAAGAGAGUUUUGCACAAAUUUAAUUUUCAGUACAGUAAUUUAAACUGGAUGUGUAAUUUUCAGUACAGUUAUGUAAAAUGAAUAUGUUACUUAUUAUGAUUGUCAAUUUCUCUACAGGACAUAAUUGUAGUUUAUUUAUAUGGUCACUCUUGCAGUACAAAACACACAAAACUUUUUUUCUCUGUGUGCAUCAUACACUUGUGAAUGUUUUACACCACCAUGUUUACAUAUUUUACAUUGAUGACAUGUAAAUCGAGCACACAUAUCUGGAUACAUGCAAACAUGCAUUUACCAUAACCUAUUACAUAUUUUCCAAGGCGUGUGAAGUCGAGCACAUACAUGAAAAUGUGUGAAGCUGGACACAUACGCAAAUACACAUGCAUCUGCCACAACCUAUUACAUAUUUUCCAAGGUGUGUGAAGUCGAGCACAUACAUGAAAAUGUGUGAAGCUGGACACAUACACAAAUACACAUGCAUCUGCCACAACCUAUUACAUAUUUUCCAAGGCGUGUGAAGUCGAGCACAUACAUGAAAAUUUGUGAAGCUGGACACAUAUGCAAACACACUAACAUAUACUACAGACAUAAAAACAUUAUCUAAACUAAGUCAAGCACAGACAGGCUCACUGGGUGAAGCUGGAUUCAUACAUGAUCUCAUGCAUUUUGCAAACUGCAUCCUCACAUAUAUUCUAAUAGAUUUUUCACCAUUUUUUGUGUUUGUGAAUAUGUAAAAUGCAUCAUUUUGCAUUACAAGUUGAAGAUGUUAUUAGCCUGUAUGUAAGCGCAAAUUAAAUUACCUUUUAUGUAAUUUUUUCACAUUUUUAAUUCAAUUUAAACUGCAAAGUUUAUUUCAUAUAUGUACAUGCACCAUAAAGAAUAAAUAAUAUUGUACCGGUAUUAUAUUUUAAAGUGAAAUGGGACCUCCAUUUCAUAAGCAGAAAUGUGAAAUUUAUACUUAUCAUCUGUAUCUUUUUUUUUUAUUUUGUCUCACAUGUAUCUGAAUGUGUAAAGGAAAACAAAAGUCAA